AACGAACGCUGGCGGCAUGCCUAACACAUGCAAGUCGAACGAGACCUUCGGGUCUAGUGGCGCACGGGUGCGUAACGCGUGGGAACCUGCCUUUAGGUUCGGAAUAACUCAGAGAAAUUUGAGCUAAUACCGGAUGAUGUCUUCGGACCAAAGAUUUAUCGCCUUUAGAUGGGCCCGCGUUGGAUUAGCUAGUUGGUGGGGUAAAGGCCUACCAAGGCGACGAUCCAUAGCUGGUCUGAGAGGAUGAUCAGCCACACUGGGACUGAGACACGGCCCAGACUCCUACGGGAGGCAGCAGUGGGGAAUAUUGGACAAUGGGCGAAAGCCUGAUCCAGCAAUGCCGCGUGAGUGAUGAGGGCCUUAGGGUUGUAAAGCUCUUUUACCCGAGAUGAUAAUGACAGUAUCGGGAGAAUAAGCUCCGGCUAACUCCGUG
rnacentral:rRNA from 1 species